AUGCUUUGCUCGGUGACGGCACCUGCGCAGUGCUCGUCCUGCGUCAGCUGCUGUGAUGACAGUGAACAACGCCCCCUACCCCCCAUGGAGGGACUGCCUCUUGUCCUUGAUGUUCACCUGGUUUUAGAUCCAGUUCUUUCCUGGCGACUCUUGCCUUCCAACACAAGAUCGUGCUCGAAUGCCAUCUUGAAUGCCAGCGGACUUUGUUGGAGCAGGAACCAAUGGUACAGGAUCAAUUCGGAUGGGUUGCGAUCCACAGGGGCUAAAUAAACAGAUUAAGAACACAUUUUUUUAAUUGUGAGAUUCUUUUUACUACGAUUAACCUAUUUAAUAAGCAAAACUCUGAGGACGUCAGGACAGAGAGAGCAUAUCUGUUUCAUCCAUUAUACACAGCUCCUGAACGGGGCUUUGGCAUUGUUUGAGUGAGUGACUGCAUGAUGGAUGAAGAGCCGUUUUUGUUGAACGUAUUAAGAAGGUGAGGAGCAGAGAUGAAGCAGCUGCCAGAAUGACCUGACGAGUCAGAGCGGAGCCUGGUGGUGAUCUCACUGCCCGCUCCCACCAUCCACUUCGGAUGGCACCAAGGUAGCCUCCCCAGGACAGGAAGUAUCAGAAAACACUCAGGCAGCCUCUGUGCUCAGGAUCCUGGCAUCGUGAGAUGUUUUAAUGAUGUGACUCAAAUUUCCUCCCACUGUCUGGAUGGGACACCAGCAGGAUCCCUAGCCCUGGGAAAUCCAGCUGCCAACACCAAAUCUGGCCCGCUGCACAGCUGGCAGUCGUAUCUCAGACUGGAUGCGCGGGACCAUGGCCCUGAUGACAAACAGACUCCACUAGGCCACCCAGACAGCACUGAGCAGGCCACCAAGAGGCAGCUGCCUGGGCCAGGGGCUCUGGGAUGAGGGCCAGAUGAAAGAGAAACCUCUUGUGUGGCUCUUGUGAGAGGCUCUCACUCUCUCCACAUACCCACUUGCUCAUUCAUUCAUUCAUUCAUUCUAGAGGCUGUCAUAUGAUAGUCCCAUGCACUGGGGUCCCUGAGGUUGGUGCCACUGUCCAACCAUCUGGAGCUGCGCUCUCCAGUAUGGCCGACGUGAGCCACGGGCAGCCGCUGGGCACUUGAAGAGUGGCUCAUCUGAAUUGAAACAUGUUGUAAGUGUCAAGUAUCCCCUGGAUUCCAAACACAUUGUACAAAAGGGGAAAAAAGCGGUGCCUGGGUGGCUCUGUGGGUUAAGCCUCUGCCUUCGGCUCAGGUCGUGAUCUCAGGGUCCUGGGAUCAAGCCUCACAUCGGACUCUGCUC
rnacentral:lncRNA from 1 species